AGAGUUUGGUUAGGGCUCAGAUUGAACGCUGGCGGCAGGCUUAACACAUGCAAGUCGAGCGGCAGCGGAAAGAAGCUUGCUUCUUUGCCGGCGAGCGGCGGACGGGUGAGUAAUGUCUGGGGAUCUGCCCGAUGGAGGGGGAUAACUACUGGAAACGGUAGCUAAUACCGCAUAAUGUCGCAAGACCAAAGUGGGGGACCUUCGGGCCUCACACCAUCGGAUGAACCCAGAUGGGAUUAGCUAGUAGGUGGGGUAAUGGCUCACCUAGGCGACGAUCCCUAGCUGGUCUGAGAGGAUGACCAGCCACACUGGAACUGAGACACGGUCCAGACUCCUACGGGAGGCAGCAGUGGGGAAUAUUGCACAAUAGGGGAAACCCUGAUGCAGCCAUGCCGCGUGUGUGAAGAAGGCCUUCGGGUUGUAAAGCACUUUCAGCGGGGAGGAAGGCAAUGGCGUUAAUAGUGUCAUUGAUUGACGUUACCCGCAGAAGAAGCACCGGCUAACUCCGUGCCAGCAGCCGCGGUAAUACGGAGGGUGCGAGCGUUAAUCGGAAUUACUGGGCGUAAAGCGUACGCAGGCGGUCUGUUAAGUCAGAUGUGAAAUCCCCGGGCUUAACCUGGGAACUGCAUUUGAAACUGGCAGGCUAGAGUCUCGUAGAGGGGGGUAGAAUUCCAGGUGUAGCGGUGAAAUGCGUAGAGAUCUGGAGGAAUACCGGUGGCGAAGGCGGCCCCCUGGACGAAGACUGACGCUCAGGUACGAAAGCGUGGGGAGCAAACAGGAUUAGAUACCCUGGUAGUCCACGCUGUAAACGAUGUCGAUUUGAAGGUUGUGGUCUUGAGCCGUGGCUUUCGGAGCUAACGCGUUAAAUCGACCGCCUGGGGAGUACGGCC
rnacentral:rRNA from 1 species